AGAGUUUGAUUCUGGCUCAGAACAAACGCUGGCGGCGUGCCUAAUACAUGCAAGUCGAAUGGGGAACGCCCUUCGGGGCUUGUACUAGUGGCGCACGGGUGAGUAACACGUGGAUAAUCUGCCUUUUGGUGGGGAAUAACUCCUCGAAAGGGGUGCUAAUACCGCAUAAGAUCUUAGUCACUGCGGUGACUUUGAUGAAAGAGGGCCUCUUCUUGAAAGCUCUCGCCGAAAGAUGAGUCCGCGGCCGAUUAGCUUGUUGGUAGGGUAACGGCCUACCAAGGCGACGAUCGGUAGCUGGUCUGAGAGGAUGACCAGUCACACUGGAACUGAGACACGGUCCAGACUCCUACGGGAGGCAGCAGUAGGGAAUAUUGGACAAUGGGGGAAACCCUGAUCCAGCGACGCCGCGUGAGUGAUGAAGGCUUUCGGGUCGUAAAGCUCUGUUGUACGGGAAGAACGAAUGGCGGUUAAUACCUGCCAUUUUUGACGGUACCGUACCAGAAAGGACCGGCUAACUUCGUGCCAGCAGCCGCGGUAAGACGAGGGGUCCUAGCGUUGUUCGGAAUUACUGGGCGUAGAGCGCAUGUAGGCGGCCAAGUCAGUCAGGUGUGAAAGCCCAUGGCUUAACCAUGGAAUUGCAUUUGAUACUGCUUGGCUUGAGUAUUGGAGAGGGUAGCGGAAUUCCUGGUGUAGUGGUGAAAUACGUAGAUAUCAGGAGGAACACCCGUGGCGAAGGCGGCUACCUGGUCAAAUACUGACGCUGAGAUGCGAAAGCGUGGGGAGCAAACAGGAUUAGAUACCCUGGUAGUCCACGCUGUAAACGAUGGACAUUUGGUGUUGGAGGUAUUGACCCCUUCAGUGCCGGAGCUAACGCGUUAAGUGUCCCGCCUGGGGAGUACGGUCGCAAGAUUAAAACUCAAAGAAAUUGACGGGGGCCCGCACAAGCGGUGGAGCAUGUGGUUCAAUUCGAUGCAACGCGAAAAACCUUACCUGGGCUAGAAUGUUUAGUGCAAUCCCUAGAGAUAGGGAGUUCCUUCGGGACGCUUUGCAAGGUGCUGCAUGGCUGUCGUCAGCUCGUGUCGUGAGAUGUUGGGUUAAGUCCCGUAACGAGCGCAACCCUUGCCUUUAGUUGCCAGCAUUAAGUUGGGCACUCUAGAGGGACUGCCGACGUUAAGUCGGAGGAAGGUGGGGAUGACGUCAAGUCCUCAUGGCCUUUAUGUCCAGGGCUACACACGUGCUACAAUGGUCGGUACAAAGGGCAGCAAUGCCGCAAGGUGGAGCUAAUCCCAAAGAACCGAUCUAAGUUCGGAUUGGAGUCUGCAACUCGACUCCAUGAAGCUGGAAUCGCUAGUAAUCGCGAAUCAGCGCGUCGCGGUGAAUACGUUCCCGGGCCUUGUACACACCGCCCGUCACACCAUGAAAGCUGGUUGUACCAGAAGUCGCUGUGCUAACCGUAAGGAGGUAGGCGCCCAAGGUAUGAUUAGUGAUUGGGGUGAAGUCGUAACAAGGUA
rnacentral:rRNA from 1 species